rnacentral:rRNA from 1 species
UACGUAGGGUGCAAGCGUUGUCCGGAAUUAUCGGGCGUAAAGAGCUCGUAGGCGGUUUGUUGCGUCGGCUGUGAAAACCCGGGGCUCAACCCCGGGCCUGCAGCCGAUACGGGCAGACUAGAGUUCGGCAGGGGAGACUGGAAUUCCUGGUGUAGCGGUGAAAUGCGCAGAUAUCAGGAGGAACACCGGUGGCGAAGGCGGGUCUCUGGGCCGAUACUGACGCUGAGGAGCGAAAGCGUGGGGAGCGAACAGG